CCUACGGGCGGCAGCAGUGGGGAAUAUUGGACAAUGGGGGGAACCCUGAUCCAGCCAUGCCGAGUGUGUGAAGAAGGCCCUCGGGUUGUAAAGCACUUUCAGUGAGGAAGAACGCCUGGUGGUUAAUACCCAUCAGGAAAGACAUCACUCACAGAAGAAGCACCGGCUAACUCCGUGCCAGCAGCCGCGGUAAUACGGAGGGUGCGAGCGUUAAUCGGAAUUACUGGGCGUAAAGCGCGCGUAGGUGGCUUGAUAAGCCGGUUGUGAAAGCCCCGGGCUCAACCUGGGAACGGCAUCCGGAACUGUCAAGCUAGAGUGCAGGAGAGGAAGGUAGAAUUCCCGGUGUAGCGGUGAAAUGCGUAGAGAUCGGGAGGAAUACCAGUGGCGAAGGCGGCCUUCUGGACUGACACUGACACUGAGGUGCGAAAGCGUGGGUAGCAAACAGGAUUAGAUACCCCAGUAGUC
rnacentral:rRNA from 1 species